rnacentral:rRNA from 1 species
UGGGGAAUUUUGGACAAUGGGGGAAACCCUGAUCCAGCCAUCCCGCGUGUGCGAUGAAGGCCUUCGGGUUGUAAAGCACUUUUGGCAGGAAAGAAACGUCAUGGGUUAAUACCCCGUGAAACUGACGGUACCUGCAGAAUAAGCACCGGCUAACUACGUGCCAGUAGCCGCGGUAAUACGUAGGGUGCAAGCGUUAAUCGGAAUUACUGGGCGUAAAGCGUGCGCAGGCGGUUCGGAAAGAAAGAUGUGAAAUCCCAGAGCUCAACUUUGGAACUGCAUUUUUAACUACCGGGCUAGAGUGUGUCAGAGGGAGGUGGAAUUCCGCGUGUAGCAGUGAAAUGCGUAGAUAUGCGGAGGAACACCGAUGGAGAAGGCAGCCUCCUGGGAUAACACUGACGCUCAUGCACGAAAGCGUGGGGAGCAAACAGG